rnacentral:rRNA from 1 species
CCUACGGGAGGCAGCAGUAGGGAAUAUUGCUCAAUGGGGGAAACCCUGAAGCAGCAACGCCGCGUGGAGGAUGAAGGUUUUCGGAUUGUAAACUCCUUUUGUUAGAGAAGAUAAUGACGGUAUCUAACGAAUAAGCACCGGCUAACUCCGUGCCAGCAGCCGCGGUAAUACGGAGGGUGCAAGCGUUACUCGGAAUCACUGGGCGUAAAGAGCGCGUAGGCGGGAUAGCAAGUCAGAUGUGAAAUCCUAAGGCUUAACCAUAGAACUGCAUUUGAAACUGUUAUUCUUGAGUAUGGGAGAGGUAGGUGGAAUUCUUGGUGUAGGGGUAAAAUCCGUAGAGAUCAAGAGGAAUACUCAUUGCGAAGGCGACCUGCUAGAACAUAACUGACGCUGAUGCGCGAAAGCGUGGGGAGCAAACAGGAUUAGAUACCCCAGUAGUC